CAAAGAGUUGUUAGUUUAUUUCAGAUCCUAAAUUUUACGUAAGAAGGUUUGUUUAUUUUCGGUCACAACAAAAAAUCAAAAUGGGUCGCUGCUCUCCUCAAAAGGACGACAAAUCCAAAAAAGUUUUGGUUAGUGUGGAGGGGAGUGAUGUCAAAAUUUGGCCUCUCGGAGAUAGGAAGAAAAAAUGCGGCUCAAGUCGUAGAAAAGCCAGCCGCUCCAGAUCUAAAUGCUCGAGUGGAUCCUCUCGUCCUAAUAAGCCAAAGUGCUGCAAGCCAAAAAGGAAGCCAGCUCCAAAGUGCAAGAAAGCUCCUGUGUGCGCGCCUCCUCCAUGUCCACCUCCUGAAGCCGGGAUGCUGGAGAAAGUCAUGAGCAUGUUCGGCAUGUGUCCAUCACCAAAAUGUUAAAUUGUAAAGCUCUGUCAUCAAAACGGGUGUUCGAGAGCUUAGCCUGCUCGACGCAACGUUUGUCUACCGUUGGAGAUAAGAAUAUUAAAUGCUUGCGAUUAUAAUGAUGAAAUUAGUGUCGCCAUGUGUUGUUUGUCGGUCAGCGUGACUAGCACAUUGAACAGAAUGACCGCAUGAUGGAAAUGCACUGAAAAACGACGACGCACUCUCCACAUGCACUUUGAGCCCCUUCCAGUCAUGCCACUACUACUUGCCAUGUGUUGUUUAUCUUGACAAAUCGCAGUGUCACACUGGAAGACAAUAACGAGCAGUAAUAAAGUCAAAAGCCUCUGCGACAGAAUGCGAUUA
rnacentral:lncRNA from 1 species